AACCUCCGCAAUGUACGAAAGUGCGACGGGGGGAUCCCAAGUGUUAUGCUUAAAGGUAUGACUUUUCAUUAGUGUAAAAAGCUUUUAGAAUAAGAGCUGGGCAAGACCGGUGCCAGCCGCCGCGGUAACACCGGCAGCUCGAGUGGUAGCUGUUUUUAUUGGGCCUAAAGCGUUCGUAGCCGGUUUAAUAAGUCUUUGGUGAAAGCUUGUAGCUUAACUAUAAGAAUUGCUGGAGAUACUAUUAGACUUGAAGUCGGGAGAGGUUAGAGGUACUACCGGGGUAGGGGUGAAAUCCUAUAAUCCUGGGAGGACCACCUGUGGCGAAGGCGUCUAACUGGAACGAUCUUGACGGUGAGUAACGAAAGCCAGGGGCGCGAACCGGAUUAGAUACCCGGGUAGUCCUGGCCGUAAACGAUGUGGACUUGGUGUUGGAAUGGCUUUGAGUUGUUCCGGUGCCGAAGGGAAGCUGUUAAGUCCACCGCCUGGGAAGUACGGUCGCAAGAUUGAAACUUAAAGGAAUU
rnacentral:rRNA from 1 species